CACACAGACAGAGAGAGAGAGACACAGAUGGACAGACAGACGUGUGGCUGCAGAUUUACUGUAAACUCCAGCAGUCACCUGAGAGAGCGAUCAAACUGCUCAUCACAGCGUUCCUGCAGCAAUAAAACAUCUCGGAUAAACAGUUCUUGGAGAAUUACACAAGCUUAUCUUCUGUCGUGUGUGUUGAUGUUGAAUCUGGACGGUGAGGACGAGACGCACCUGUGAACACGGCCUCCGUGAGUUUGAAUGGCGGUUCAGGUGUCAGUGUGUCAUCAAAAACCACACGUUUAUCAUCAGACUCGUGUUAAAAUACUGCUAAUGGAC